UACAGAGGUCCCAAGCGUUGUUCGGAUUUAUUGGGCGUAAAGGGCGCGUAGGCUGGUUUGUAAGUCAGAUGUGAAAUCCCGGGGCUCAACCUCGGAACAGCAUUUGAAACUGCAUACCUAGAGGGUAGGCGGAGAAAACGGAAUUCCACAAGUAGCGGUGAAAUGCGUAGAUAUGUGGAAGAACACCGGUGGCGAAGGCGGUUUUCUAGCUUACUCCUGACGCUGAGGCGCGAAAGCAAGGGGAUCAAACAGG
rnacentral:rRNA from 1 species